AAAAAGACAAACUAUGGGUUUCCGUGCCAACGUUUGACUAUCUGUCUUAUAUGAAAUUUUUUUAUAAUUAGUAUUUUCAUUGUUGUUAGAUGAUAAAACAUGAUUAAUACUUUAUGCGUGACUUAUCUUUUUAAUUUUUUUUUUCAUAUUUUUUCAAAUAAAACGAACGGUCAAACGUUGUACACGAAAACCAUGGUUUGUCUUUUU
rfam:Oryza rufipogon genomic scaffold, chr03